UACAGAGGGGGCAAGCGUUGUUCGGAAUUACUGGGCGUAAAGGGCGCGUAGGCGGCCUGCUAAGUCGAACGUGAAAUCCCCGAGCUCAACUCGGGAACUGCGUCCGAUACUGGCAGGCUUGAAUCCGGGAGAGGGAUGCGGAAUUCCAGGUGUAGCGGUGAAAUGCGUAGAUAUCUGGAGGAACACCGGUGGCGAAGGCGGCAUCCUGGACCGGCAUUGACGCUGAGGCGCGAAAGCCAGGGGAGCAGACGGG
rnacentral:rRNA from 1 species